rnacentral:pre_miRNA from 1 species
UCCUGUGUUGCAGUUUCGUUUUGUGACCGACACUAACGGGUAAUUGUUUGGCCGCCAGGAUUACUCGUUUUUGCGAUCACAAAUUAUGAAAUUGCAGCAA